UAGAUGCGAGAGUAGAGCAUAUCAAUAAGCGGAGGAAAAGAAACUAACAAGGAUUCCCCUAGUAACGGCGAGUGAAGCGGGAAGAGCUCAAAUUUGAAAUCUUAAAGGGUUUCCCUUUACGAAUUGUAGUUUAAAGAAGUGUUUUCUGUUGGAGUUUCGGUAAAAGUUCUUUGGAAUAGGACAUCAUAGAGGGUGAGAAUCCCGUAUUUGACCGUUACUUUCCAGCUGUGUGAUACACUUUCAAAGAGUCGGAUCGUUUGGGAAUGCAGUCCAAAAUGGGUGGUAAAUUUCAUCUAAAGCUAAAUAUUGGCGAGAGACCGAUAGCGAACAAGUACCGUGAGGGAAAGAUGAAAAGAACUUUGAAAAGAGAGUUAAACAGUACGUGAAAUUGUCAAAAGGGAAGCGUUUGACACCAGUGUUGUUUAGUUGAAAAUCAAUUCAAUAAUUUUUGAUUUUGAGUAGUAUUGACUUCAUCAGCUUGCUGCUUUCUUUUCAGAAAUUAUUGAAUGCACUUUUCAGUUAACAAGUCAACAUCAAUUUCUUUUGUUGUAAAAGGGUAAGAGGAAGGUGGCUUACGCUUCGGCGUAAGUGUUUAUAGCCUUUUACCUCUGCAAUCGGAGAGAUUGAGGACAGCAGCGUAGACUCUUCGGGGUUAGAUACACUUGUGCUAAGCUAUAGCCUUGUAUAGACAACUUGUUGACUAUGCUCAGUCAUGUAGCUUACUCGCUUGUGCUAUUUUACCUACGCUUAGGAUGUUGACACACGCGCGUGCUCGACCUAUACAUAACUCUGAGCAUAUCAAUAAGCGGAGGAAAAGUAAAUGCUGUAUACCUACGCUUAGGAUGUUGACACACGCGCGUGCUCG
rnacentral:rRNA from 1 species